rfam:Gossypium raimondii chromosome 7, whole genome shotgun sequence.
GUUGCUUCUUCUGAUAAUGGGGGGUACCCGAUUUGAUUUUUUUUGUUACUCUUUAAUGGGAAGCAUACAGUAAAGGGAAAUUGCCAGUUUUAAACAGCAUGAUGCUGUUGUUUAUCUAUUGCAUCGUGUUACCUGUCUGAUGGUAUAUUU